GUCCUAGCCCUAAACGAUCAGGACUUGGGGUGACCCGCGCACGCGGGUCGUCCCGUAGCUAACGCGUUAAGUCCUGCGCCUGGGGAGUACGGUCGCAAGACUGAAACUCAAAGGAAUUGACGGGGCCCGCACAAGCGGUGGAACAUGUGGUUCAAUUCGACGCAACGCGAAGAACCUUACCUGGGCUUGAAGUGCACAGGACCAGCCGUGGAAACAUGGCCUUCCCGCAAGGGACCUGUGUAGAGGUGCUGCAUGGCUGUCGU
rnacentral:rRNA from 1 species